rnacentral:piRNA from 1 species
UAUCUGACAUCAAAGGAGAAUGUCUAAUGGU